UUGGAUCUCAACAGCCUUGAAGCGGUUAACUUUGUAGUUUACUGCUUUAUAGGCUGUGCUUUUGCUGGAGGUUAGGGGUGCUCUUGAUCGAGUGUCUCUGGAUGCCAGCAGGUUUACUUUGAAAAAAUUAGAGUGCUCAAAGCAGGCUAAAAUGCCUGAAUAUUCGUGCAUGGAAAUAAUAGAAUAGGAUGUCGAUCCUAUUUUGUUGGUUUUCGGGACUCGAACAUAAUGAUAAAUAGGGACAGUCGGGGGCAUUUGUAUUCAAACGACAGAGGGUGAAAUUCUUGGACCGUUUGAAGACAAACUACUGCGAAAGCAUUUGCCAAGAAUGUUUUCAUUAAUCAAGAACGAAAGUUAGAGGUUCGAAGGCGAUUAGAUACCGCCCUAGUUCUAACCAUAAACGAUGCCAGCUAGCGAUCUGCCUGCGUUUUUACU
rnacentral:rRNA from 1 species